ensembl:lncRNA
AUGAGCGGCUCCCAAGGAAUGCCAGAUUCCAGGGAAUUCCUGGAUCCCAGGGAAUGUGGGAUCCCAGGGAAUGCGAGAUUCCAGGGAACGCUGGAUCCCAGGGAACACCGGAUUCCAGGGAAUGCCAGAUUCAAGGGAAUGUGGGAUCCCAGGGAAUGCCCGGAUCCCAGGGAAUGCCCAGAUUCCAGGGAAUGCCAGAUCCCAGGGAAUGUGGGAUCCCAGGGAAUGCGGGAUCCCAGGGGAUGCCAGAUUCCAGGGAAUGUGGGAUCCCAGGGAAUGCCAGAUCCCAGGGAAUGUGGGAUCCCAGGGAAUGCCGGAUCCCAGGGAAUGCCGGAUCCCAGAGAACGCCCAGAUUCCAGGGAAUGCCGGAUUCCAGGGAAUGUGGGAUCCCAGGGGAUGCCCAGAUUCCAGGGAACGCCAGAUCCCAGGGAACGCUGGAUCCCAGGGAACACCAGAUUCCAGGGAACGCCAGAUCCCAGGGAAUGCCCAGAUCCCAGGGAACGCUCAGAUCCCAGGGAACACCGGAUUCCAGGGAAUGCCAGAUUCCAGGGAAUGCCGGAUCCCAAGGGAUGGCAGAUCCCAGGGAAUGCCUGGAUCCCAGGGAACGCCAGAUUCCAGGGAAUGCCGGAUUCCAGGGAAUGCGGGAUCCCAGGGAAUGCUGGAUCCCAGAGAACGCCUGGAUCCCAGGGAAUGCCGGAUCCCAGGGAACGCCGGAUUCCAGGGAACUCCCAGAUUCCAGGGAACACCAGAUUCCAGGGAAUGCCAGAUUCCAGGGAACACCCAGAUUCCAGGGAAUGCCGUAUUCCCAAGGGGGGUUGUGCUUGUGCUGUUGGGGUGGGGGAGCCACGGAGAGGGGAUCCCAUGGGAAGAGCCAGCGGAUCUCCGGGUGAAAAUCUGGGAUUGGAGCUGAUCCGGGUCCCAAAGAUCUCCGGGAGUUUGAAGGUGGAAAUGAACAAAGAAAUCCCAAACUGGAAUGAAUCCCAAGAAGUUCUGGGGAUUCCUGGGAUCCACCUGUGCUAAGGAACAGCAGAAGGUGAUGGAAGGACAGGAGGGCACAACCUUGGAAUGCUCCAUCCCAAACUUCCAGCGGCAUCCAUGGGGAAAAAAAUCCCACGGGAAGAGCCAAUGGAUCCCCACAGGAAAAUCUGGGAUCAAAGCUGAUCUUGGUCCCAAAGAUCUUUGGGAGAUUGAAGGUGGAAAAUGAACAAAAAGAUCCCAAACUGGAAUGAAUUCCAUGAAGUUUUGGGCACUGCCGGCACGGUCAAGGACCCUCUUCCAAUGCACAACGGAAUUUAAGGAAUGCCAGGAAUGUCCCUAUGGAUUCUCCAUGGAUUUCCAGCCCCUGGGGAUUCCUGGAAGCUCCACCUGUCUAAGGCCACCAGAUGGAAGGACAAGAGGUGGAACAGGAGGAACAACCUUGGAAUGCCCAUCCUGCACUUCCAGAGUGCAGAAAUCGGCCACAUUCCAACCCCACCAUCAGCAUCAAUUCCCAAAAAACCCAACCAAGAGGAAUUCCGGCCUCUGUAAGGCACCAACACCAUCCUGGAGCAGCACCCAAGGAGGAUCUCCGGGUUUUCCAACUGGGAAAAAGAUGGAAGGAACACGUCAGGGGAGGAUGGGGCAGAUUUUUGGGAAGGAAUCCCAGGUUUGGGGUGGGUUUGUGUCUGCCGGGUUUCCAUGGGCAUGGAAAAAAUUCCCCUCUGCUACCUUUGGUAUUGGGAUUUCUCCUCUGCCAUGCUUUGGAUGGGUGGGAUUGCCCGGAGCGCGCGGAUUAAAGCCGGGAAAAGGUCGCUCCGAGAGCGGUGAGAAAUGAAGGGAAACCCUCAAAAAAUGAAAGCAAUGAAAAGAUGGAGAUGGGCGUUGUCCUUGUGCCCGGGAUUUUGGGAUUGGGAUCAGCUCCACCAUGGAAUGGGAGCAGUGGGAAUUCCCAAAGUCCAUCCUCGAUUUCAGGGUCAGGCAGCCGGUGGGAUCAUGGAAUCAUGGAAUGGUUGGGUGGGAAGGACCUUAAAGCUCAUCCCAU